rnacentral:snRNA from 1 species
GUGCUCACUUCAGUAGCACAUAUACUAAAACUGAAGCAAUAGAAGAUUAGCAUGGCCCCUGUGCAAGGAUGACAUGCAAAUUUGUGAAGUGUUCCAUAUUUUU